CCCACAAAAAUAAAUAAUAGAAAAGGAAAAAUAAAAAAAAAGGAAAAAAAGAAGAGAGGGUUCCUACCGUUCCUUCCACAAUCUUGUGAAAUUUGAAAAAUACAGGCAUCGCGGUUGCCUGCUUGCAGACAGAGAAAACGGGGUUAGGGUUUUAAGAUACCAGAAUGGAGGCUGUUGUGGUCGAUGCCGGCUCCAAGCUCCUGAAGGCAGGACCCGCCAUUCCCGAUCAAGCUCCUUCCAUGAUAAUUCCUAACCAAAUGAAACGCGUGCCUGAUGAUGGGUCAAUGAAUGAUAAUUCAUCACUUGAAGAUAUCUUUGUUGAUCCAGUUGUGCGAGGUCUUAUUACUGACUGGGAUGCCAUGGAAGACCUGUUGCAUCAUGUUCUAUAUACUGGCCUUGGAUGGGAAAUGGGAAAUGAAGGGCAGAUACUAUUUACUGAUCCACUUUGUACUCCCAAGGCUGUCAGAGAGCAGUUGGUGCAACUGAUGUUUGAAACAUUUAACAUUUCGGGCUUCUAUGCAUCAGAGCAAGCAGUAUUGUCACUUUAUGCUGUAGGACGCAUCUCGGGAUGCACUGUUGAUAUUGGCCAUGGAAAAAUAGAUAUUGCACCAGUCAUUGAAGGUGCUGUUCAGCACAUUGCCUCAAGGAGGUUUGAAAUUGGCGGUACUGAUUUGACGAAAUUACUUGCUGAAGAGCUUGGGAAAUCCAAUCCUCUAGUGAAUAUCAAGAUGUCUGAUAUUGAGAAAAUAAAAGAGCAAUAUUCGUGUUGUGCUGAAGAUGAACUUGCUUAUGAAAAGACCAAAAAUUCAUGCCAGAUAGAGCAGCAUACCCUUCCUGAUGGACAGGUUAUUACGAUUGGAAGAGAAAGAUAUACUGUUGGUGAGGCUCUAUUCCAACCAUCCAUAUUGGGUUUAGAGGCUCAUGGAAUUGUCGAGCAGCUUGUUCGUUGUAUUUCAACAGUAUCGUCUGAUAAUCACCGGCAGUUGCUAGAAAAUACUGUACUGUGUGGUGGCACUGCUUCUAUGACUGGUUUUGAAGAAAGGUUUCAGAAAGAAGCUGGUCUAUGCUCAUCGGCUGUUCGUCCUGCUUUAAUUAAGAGGUCGCACUUGGUGCGAUGGCAAGUGCUUUCGCCCAUGAGCGGUAGGUCUCGGGUUCGAGACUUGGAAGCAGCCUCUUCAUAAAUGGGGGUAAGGCUAGCCGACAUUCACCUCUCCCAGACCCUAUGUAAAGCGGGAGCCUUGUGCACUGGCCUCCAGAGUAUAUGCCAGAGAAUUUAUCAAUGUAUUCAGCGUGGGUGGGCGGUGCCAUACUUGCCAAAGUUGUGUUCCCACAAAAUCAACAUGUAACAAAAGCAGACUACGAUGAAACUGGACCAUCUGUUGUUCAUCGGAAAUGCUUCUGAGGUUCUCUUUUUUCGGAUGGGAAAUUACUCCUUCGCAUCAGUCAUAAUUAUUUGCAAUUCUCAUAGUUCGAAAGCAUGCUAGAUGGUAUGAAAUGGAACUCGAAAGGAAAAACAAGUGUAUGGAACUGACCAAAAGUCCAUCGGAUUGGAUUGGAUUUCAAUGAAAGAUCCAUUAACACAUCCAAGCAUUUUGGUUUUCAAAUUUAGAGAUCUUGUUAAGGAUAUGUUUAGUGAGGGAAAUUGUGUUUAAUAUUCAACUUCAUCCUCUACCACA